rnacentral:rRNA from 1 species
UACGUAGGGGGCAAGCGUUGUCCGGAUUUAUUGGGCGUAAAGAGCGUGUAGGCGGCUUGGUAGGUCCGCUGUGAAAACUCGAGGCUCAACCUCGAGAUGUCGGCGGAAACCACUUGGCUAGAGUCCGGAAGAGGAGAGUGGAAUUCCCGGUGUAGCGGUGAAAUGCGUAGAGAUCGGGAGGAACACCAGUGGCGCAAGCGGCCCCCAAGCCUGAACCUGACGCUGAAGCGCGACAGCGUGGGGAGCAAACGGG